rnacentral:rRNA from 1 species
UACGUAGGGUGCAAGCGUUAAUCGGAAUUACUGGGCGUAAAGCGUGCGCAGGCGGUUUGCUAAGAGAGAUGUGAAAUCCCCGGGCUUAACCUGGGAACUGCGUUUCUAACUGGCAGGCUUGAGUGUGGCAGAGGGGGGGUGGAAUUCCACGUAUAGCAGUGAAAUGCGUAGAGAUGUGGAGGAACACCGAUGGCGAAGGCAGCCCCCUGGGCUAACACUGACGCUCAUGCACGAAAGCGUGGGGAGCAAACAGG